AUGUUAGCUGAAGCCUUAUUCGAGGUUCUGGAUGAAAUUCACCAGCAAUCAGUGGUUUUAUCUUCCCACCUUUCUGUAUCUUCUAUCGGAUCUGUUCCCUCGCCUGCUGAAGUUGCCGAAUCCUUACCUGUUAAAAUAUACACAAAGUCACACAAACAUCAAGAAGAACUCAGCAGGCAAUUUAGAACUAGUGGUAGUUACCCUGAAAACGUUGACUCCCAUAUUCGUCUCAAUAACGAAUCCGAUUCUCGUAUAUGUUCAUCUCUUUCAUAUCCAUGA